rnacentral:tRNA from 1 species
AUCUAAAUAGCUUAUGUAGAGUAUAACACUGAAGAUGUUAGGGAAAUAUUUUUAUUUUUAGGUA